rnacentral:lncRNA from 1 species
AGGAGAGGAAUGAAAAAGAAAACGGAAGAAAAAAAUAGGUGAAAAAGAAAGUAAGUAUAAUUUUCAUUAUUUAAUUUGAUAUAAAAUUCAUUUUUUUCGCCUUAAUGCUUUCAAAUGAUGGAAUAAAGUAGCAAAUUCAUUUAAAAAAAAAAAAAAAACUGAUUUUAGGAUCUGUUAUUAUUCCUUUCUCGAUUCCCAUUUUUCGUGGUUGCAAGUAUCUUAGAAUUGAAUACGCAUCUGCUUCAUUGGAGUCUAGUAAAUUGAAAUGCAUUAAUCUCAAGUCACAUGGGAGGCCAAUAAUAUCAAUAUUUGCAUUCUCUACGGAUUAUAUUCGUGGACGAGAGCUUUCGAAAAGGAAAUGCAGACGCUCAUCAGCUCGUGGGGUUGUUUGUUUUCUGAUGUAAGAAUGAUGAGUUUGUACUUUGUAGCUAGCUAGGUCCCUUCUUAAUAUUUUUUGGCAUCCGUACUUCAUUUAAGUGGAGAUAAUUGCAAUUAUUGAAUUUGUUGAAAUUGCCUACCGCCACAAUUGACAUUUAGCUCUGGCUGGAGAAAGUGAUUCAAAGAUGAAAUGCCCAUUCACUUGCUUGUUUUCAUAUUUAUUUAUCUUUCUAGCUUUCAUAUAUAAUCAUGGUGUCUUACACUCAAGUCGGUUAAUUAAAUGUGUACAGGAGUUAAGGAUAACUCAUACUUCAAUUGCUGAUUGGUUUAGCCAACGUAGGGUUGACCACUACUUAAACUGCUUAGGCUUUUUUCGGAUAAAUUCUUCACCAUCUAUCGUCCAUAAUGACUUAUAUGUGAGGAUUUGUGGGGAACAAGUCACAUUAUCGCUUUCUUCGUUAGUUAAUGUUAUGUGCGUAGCUGUGAAUUGAGGCUUUUGAUCACCUCUUUUGUGCAUUAAUCUAUUUUCCAAUUACUAAAUCUUGCCAUUAUAUAAAAGAAAAUCAAAACCAUUCAAGCAUGUGCCCACGCAUUUCUAUCGUUAUCUUAACGAAUUAGUAAACGUUUUUCUGUUCAAAAUCAGCUGUUAAUAUUGGUAUGGGUUAUUAAUGACAAAAAUAUCUCACUUCUUCACAAGAGAUUCCCUAAUGUUACUAUAAAAAGUAAUAAAUUCAUCUCAGUGAUUUUAAUGCCCUAAUUUUAUUAGUUAUAAAUAAUUCAAGGUAUUAGAAGCUUAAUCACGGAUUAGUUACAGAGAGUUUGAGAUUAGGUUGGGUUGGGUCAAUCUGAAAUCUGAAAACGAAACCCGACGAUCAUUUCCAAUUCUGCCUACAUCACGUGAAAGCACAAUCUCACCGAUCUUAAAUCGGUGCGUUUUCGCCGAUUUUCAGUCACGCCGUCGCUUGCGUUUUGUCCUCUUCAAAACCCGACCGGUAACCGUUACCAAAAGCAGCCAAAUCACUGUCGAUUUUGCUUAACACAUCUGCGUCAGAGCACAACACCGCCAUUGUUGGAUUCAAAUCACGCUUAACACACCGCCCAUUGGAGCACAACACCGCCAUCGUUGGAUUCAUCCCGACCACCGUUGGUUGAUUUCUAGUUAUCAUUGACCGGUGAGGAUAUUUUGGUGUCGUUAGACUUCAAGGGUAAUUCUGUAAUUUAUGACUUUGAGGAUAUCUUAGUAAUAUAUGAAUUCAAGAGUACCUUGGUAAUUUAUGAUUAGGACUUGAUAAUAUUCAUUAAUGUUGCACGUGGAUGUCAAGAAUUAGACUUCUAAAUGAAUCAAAAUAAAAAAAAUUGUAUAUAUUUGACAUGUUUUUUUUUUUAUAUAUGUGCAGAUAUGCAUUUUAUAUGAUCUUGACCUUGUGUUUAUGUGAUGCGUAGUUAUUUGCUAAGCGUAAUCAUAUACAUGGCAUAAAUAUGUGUGAAAGUUCGUUGGCAUAAGCAUAUGUGUGAAAGUUCAUUGGCAUAAACAUGAACAUGCGAAGCUUUAAUAAAAAACAUGUUUAUUAAUUGCAUUUGUAAUUUUAUGAUUUAUAUGUGAACUUUGUUAUCAUACUAAUUGUUACGAGAGUUUGCAUUGCAUUAGGGGCCACCUCUUAAAGUUAUGUGGGUGACACCUCUUGAGACUAUGCGGGGUCAACUUUCGAAAGUUAAUGUACCGCAAAAUGCUACACAUAGUACAAAGUGACAUAUGCGUGACAUGUAUUUUAUUGAAAGAAAAUGUGAAAGUUUAAAAGUGACAAAAAAAGAUUUUGAUAAAUUUAUUUUACAUUGUUUUCAAAAGAUCAUGACAUAUCAUCUGCAAAGUGCCACACAUUGAUUUAAAAACUAGUUUGUUUACUAAGCUUUGUACUCAUUAUGGUUUAUUGUGAUUCAGUUUUCAGAGGUCAGGAUUAAUUCCUAAUGAGUGAGAAUAAUGAUUUGAAUUGAGAAUGAUAAAUGGUUUGACAAAAUUCUUUAAUAUUCAUUUGUUGUGUAAUAGUUGUAUUCGAGAAUUGAAUUUUGAUCGAUUAUAAAAGGUCGUUUAAGGUUUAUAUGUGGGUUGUGGUUAGAUUUGCUCAUAGGAUUCGGACUCGGUGUUACAGUAAUACUAAAUGGGUCAUUAAUGGAAAAGAAAAAUGUCAUUGGAACACCACAUAUGGUAUUGUAAAAAAACAAGAACACUGUACACGAAUAAUGUGUUCUUUUAACUUGUUUUGUAUACUAUAUAGUUACCGUGUAGUAAACAGUAACACUUUUGAUGUCGCUUUGGUUCAAAUAUUAGUAUGGGUUAUUAAUGGCAAAUAGAUCGCACUUCUUUAGAAGAGAUUCUUAAAAGUCAGUGUAAGAGUCCGUUUGGAAAUGUGGUGAGGUAGAUGGGCUGCCAAAGCCCAACUACUAAGGUGUUUGGUAACACUUGUAAUUGGGCUUUGACAGCUUAGUAAAAAUUUUUUUUUAACUUCUACUCCACAUCUAUAGUUUUUACUCAACAACAGCUGCAACUUAAAAGUUACAACACCUCACUCCCAAACACACUCUAAAAAGGAAGAAACUGCUGUUCAAGCACGUUUACGUAAGCAACGUUUAAGCUUUUCUGACCCAAGUAAUUUAAUUUAAAAUUAUUGCGAUAUUUUAUGCAUGGAAUCUGAUUUUGUUUGCCUCAACGAACUUUCACCAG